UUCGGCAUUAAGCAAUUAGUUCUUCACUCAACAGUGAUUCACAUUCAGAUAUUCAGCCACAUUCAACUCCUGUAUCUCCUGAUGUUACAUCUUCUACUCCCUCUCCUGUAGCACUUGCUCAUGAUGAUGUUUCUGAUUAUGUUGCACCUGCUAUAAUUGUUCUCGAUAAGUCUUCUGUUAACAAUUUACAGCUACUUUUUGUUGCAUCUUUUACUGAUUUUCCUUCUGAUGUUGUUCAGCAGGAUCUCUCUCCUUGUCCAUUUGUUAAUAUUCAUCCCAUGAUUACUAGAGGAAAAGCAGGUAUCUACAAACCCAAA
rnacentral:lncRNA from 1 species